AACACUUCCGAUAGUACCAAAAAUAGAUCCUUAACCCAUUGAAUGCACCUAAAAAUGCAGUUGCUGCCCUAGCACAUGCAAGAACAGAAGGCCUUGCCGGCUUCUACCAGUGUAAACCGCAAAACUGGUCAUUUUUGUUGUCAAUAAUGUUAGACUCAGCUUCCAGAUCUAAAUCACGGAGCAGAACCAACAUGCAUCUUCUCUUGAGCUGCACCAGAACGCACUCACCUUUUGGCACGGCGUCAGAGAGUUUUAGCAGGUCUACUACUCAGGAAAAUUUUAUCGAUCAUUUCUUGGCUGAAAACCUCUGCGUCGAUGAAGGCACCUAGUCCAUACUGCAAUUCUAUUAAACGAUGCUGGCCGUUGCACCGUGAAUACUAAUGCCUCCUCAUCGUAUACUGGCAACUCGACCUCUCCAUAAUGCUACAAUAUGAACAACUUAGAAGGAACAGGUUGGAGGGAUAUUCUAACUACUAUAUCUCUAUUUGCAAAGCCUCUAGCUUUCCAUUUAUCCUCCCUUCAACCUCCCCAACUGCUGCGCCGACUUCGCCCUCCUCCUGAAGGGCAAUCGUUCGCCCGAUGUCCCCGUUGCCCACACACGUGACAUGUCCCUGAAAAGGUCCUGUCACCCCCUCUGUCCGACUGCUUUGACGAAAACCUCCCGAACCUCUCUCUUUCUGAUGAUGAUGAUCGAGGUGACGAUGACGAGAAUCUUCCGAAUCGAUCAUUGCCCCUAUCCAUACCACCUCGACUAUCCGAUCCUCCACCAAAUCUUCCAAACAUACCUGAGCUUUGUCCUCCUCUCCUUUCUUCUGAUAUUAUAGGAGGAAGCUUUGUUGGUACGUCGAACACGUCCCCGUCCUGGUUUGGUAGCGCCAGAACUUCCUUGGCCACAUCAUCCGGCAAAUCGAACACCGCUCCAUUCACCCUCCUGUCGUCGAUAAUGCAGAUCUUCCCCACACUGUCCGCUGCAGAUCGAGAUAAGCCAGACAAAACCCCGCUCACACCGCGCGCAUUAAGAGCUGGUCUGCCCCCGCUGCGCAUCAGCCUCAACGUCGUCAUUCCUGGCUCGUGCGUCAACAAAGAUCGGCUGGGAGGCAGCUGACUGAACCCACUCAAGUGAGCCAAUGCAGCAGCGAACGCAUCUGGACCCUUCUCCUCCAGCAGAGACUCUGCAGUUGGACGGAACUCGGCCGCCAAACUCUCAUCCACAUUUUUCAGCGCACCCCUCACCUGGUCGAAGCUUGCUUGCAUCACAUCCUUCACAUGAGGUGCACCAAUCAUCUGAAACCUGCACUUCACGUUGCUCUCGAUAGUCCGCAUCGUCCGCAUCUGUUGAUUGGUAAACAUCAAUAUAUUCGUCCCGGUCUUCCCCGCGCGACCUGUCCGUCCCGUCCUAUGCACAAAUGUCUCCGAGUCGUUCGGAAUCUCGUAGUGGAUUACAAGGUCUACGUUUGGCACGUCCAGUCCUCGUGCAGCGACGUCCGUCGCGACCAAAACUGUGAUAUUACCCUCCCGAAACGCGUUCAAUGUCUUCUCCCUCUGAAGUUGCGAGAUAUCCCCGUGCAAUGCCCCACAAGCCACCAGGUUCCCCAUCGCCAUCGCCACGUCGUCUGCGUCUCUCUUUGUCUGCGUAAACACGAUCGUCUUCCCGCCUUUGGCAUGCACAGUAAUCAAGUCGCUCAAAAUCGAUCGCUUCGCCGUUGCAGGAAGCUGAAUGGCCAAAUUCGUGAUGCCCUCCGCCAGCUUGUCAUCUGCGUCUCCCACCAGGUUAAUCAUCAGUGGCCUGUUGAGGUACUUUCCACUAAGCUCUUUCACCCAUUUCGGCAUCGUCGCAGAGAAAAGCAUGCUCUGUCGGUUCUUUGGCAACUGCUGUAAAAUACGCUCCACAUCUUCUUCGAAUCCAACCGCCAACAUCUGAUCUGCCUCGUCCAACACCAAGAAGUUUACAUUCUGCAACUUCAAAGAGCCCCUGUCAAUUAAAUCGAUGAUAC
rnacentral:lncRNA from 1 species